CCCGAAAUAGCUCAGUUGGGAGAGCGUUGGAGUGAAGAUCUAAAGGUCCCCGGUUCAAUUCCGGGUUUCGGCA
rfam:Glossina fuscipes fuscipes unplaced genomic scaffold Scaffold353, whole genome shotgun sequence.